rnacentral:rRNA from 1 species
UGAAACCGUGUGCUUACAAGUAGUCAGAGCCCGUUAAUGGGUGAUGGCGUGCCUUUUGUAGAAUGAACCGGCGAGUUACGAUUUGAUGCAAGGUUAAGCAGUAAAUGUGGAGCCGUAGCGAAAGCGAGUCUGAAUAGGGCGUUUAGUAUUUGGUCGUAGACCCGAAACCAGGUGAUCUACCCUUGGUCAGGUUGAAGUUCAGGUAACACUGAAUGGAGGACCGAACCGACUUACGUUGAAAAGUGAGCGGAUGAACUGAGGGUAGCGGAGAAAUUCCAAUCGAACCUGGAGAUAGCUGGUUCUCUCCGAAAUAGCUUUAGGGCUAGCCUCAAGUGAUGAUUAUUGGAGGUAGAGCACUGUUUGGACGAGGGGCCCC